UGGCGCGGUAGCUCAGUCGGUAGAGCAACGGAUUGAAAAUCCGUGUGUCGGCAGUUCGAUCCUGCCCCACGCCACCAU
rnacentral:tRNA from 1 species